AUGUCCUGUCAGCAGCACUGUGGCAGGAGCAUUGGAGUCAGGAUCACAUGGUGGAAGGAGCCCUGUUGUCAGGAUCAUAUGGUGGCAGGAGCAGGAGGUUACAGGAGCACUGGUGCAGGAGCAUUGCAGCAGCAGGAGGAGGGAGUAGGAGCAGGUCAUAGCAGGAGCACUGUGGCAGGAGCACUGUGGGUAGAACAUUGGAAUCAGGAGCAUUGGAGUCAGGAUCACUGGUGGCAGGAGGACUGGUGUCAGGAGCACAGGGUGUCAGGAGCACAUGGUGGAAGGAACACAGGUCUCAGGAGCACUGGUUGCAGGAGCAGGAGGUAGAAGGAGCACUUGUCGGGAGCACUGGAGUCAGGAACACUGGGGUAAGGAGCACUGUGUCAGGAACACAUGGAAGAAGGAGCACUGGUGUUAAGAGCACAUGGUGGCAGGAGCACGUGGUGGCAGGAGCAUUGGUGACAGGAGGACUCUGGCAGAAGCAUUGGAGUCAGGAUCACAUUGUGGAAGGAGCCCUGUUGUCGGGAUCAUAUGGUGGUAGGAGCAGGUUGUUACAGGAGCACUGGUGCAGAAGCAUUGCUGCAGGAGGAGGGAGGGAGCAGGAGCACUGUGGCAGGAGCAGGUCAUAGCAGGAGCACUGUGGGUGGAGCACUGUGGGUGGAGCAUUGGAGUCAGGAGCAUUGGUGUCAGGGACACUGUGGCAGGAGCACUGUGGUAGGAGCAGGUGUAGGAGGAGCAUUGUGUUUCAGGUGCACUGUUGUCCAGAGCCUUGUAACCUGAGCACUGUGGCAGGAGCACUAGUUUUAGGAGCUUGAUGUCAGGAACACUGGUGUUAGGCGCACUGCUGUCAGGAGCACUUUGGCUGGAGCUAGGAACUUGGUGGCAGGAGCACUGUGGUAUGAGUCCUGAUGUUAAGAGCAGGAGGUGCCAGGAACUAGAUGGCAGGAGCAGGAGAUAGCAGAAGCACUGGUUUUAGGCGCACUGGUUUUAGGCGCACUGGUUUUAGGAGCACUGAAUAUAGGAGCACGGGAGUCAGGUGCACAAGGUGACAGGAGCAUCUGUUUGCAGGAGCACGGUGUGCCAGGAACACUCAUGUCAGGAGCUGGCCGUGGCUGAUCUUAUUGUCUGCAGUGAGGAAAGGGAGACAGAGAAACAAUGGUGACCUGCAUGCUUUCCUUUCCCAGCCUCUGGCAUGGUGCUACCCAAUUCAGUGUUGGUCUUCCUCUUCAAUUAACCCCUGUAGAAACACCCUCCCAGGCACAGCAAGAUGUCCUUUAGAUGGCUCCAAUUCCCAUUAAGGUCACUAUCAAGAUUCACCACAACACAG
rnacentral:lncRNA from 1 species